rnacentral:rRNA from 1 species
AAGGGAUUGCCCUAGUAACGGCGAGUGAAGCGGCAACAGCUCAAAUUUGAAAUCUGGCUCUCGGGCCCGAGUUGUAAUUUGUAGAGGAUGCUUUUGAUGCGGUGCCUUCCGAGUUCCCUGGAACGGGACGCCAUAGAGGGUGAGAGCCCCGUCUGGUUGGAUGCCAAAUCUCUGUAAAGCUCCUUCGACGAGUCGAGUAGUUUGGGAAUGCUGCUCUAAAUGGGAGGUAUAUGUCUUCUAAAGCUAAAUACCGGCCAGAGACCGAUAGCGCACAAGUAGAGUGAUCGAAAGAUGAAAAGCACUUUGAAAAGAGAGUUAAAAAGUACGUGAAAUUGUUGAAAGGGAAGCGUUUAUGACCAGACUUGGGCUUGGUUAAUCAUCUGGGGUUCUCCCCAGUGCACUUUUCCAGUCCAGGCCAGCAUCAGUUUUCGCCGGGGGAUAAAGGCUUCGGGAAUGUGGCUCUCUCCGGGGAGUGUUAUAGCCCGUUGCGUAAUACCCUGGCGGGGACUGAGGUUCGCGCAUCUGCAAGGAUGCUGGCGUAAUGGUCAUCAACGACCCGUCU